GAAAUCUCCGGUCUCAGCAAGUGAAGUGGGGUCCAGACAAUAUCCCCAGGAGUCUUUGGGAACUUGCAAGACUUUCCGUAGCAAAAUAAGAAACCGGCAGCCUCUACCACUGAAAGCAGGAGAGGAACCGGCCGCCUAAAUCCGCCUAAAUCCUCCCAGCUCACCCCGUGAGCCGGGGCAGCAGCUGCUCCGCAAGAGCCGCGGGCUCGGCGCUGGAGCCGCUCGUGCGUGGGGACACGGACACGCACAGAGAAGCCACAGACCCGCUUUCCUGGGAGAGGAAAGGCAGGCGCCGCUGCGGCCGUUCCCCUGUCGCUGUGUGAUAAAGGGAAGGGGAAUGACAUGGAGGAGUGCCUCAGUUUCCCCUGGUGCAUCACACGCCGGUUCUUCCCUGUGUCAAUGCACCUUCCAGCAGGUCCACAGGGGCUCACCUUCCAUCCAAUGUGCUGCUGCUGGGGGUGGAAACGGUUCACCCUUAUCAGCUUGUGCUCAUUUACUCCAGCCAAGCAAAUCUCUUUCGUGGUGCCCGAAACAUCUGAUCCUUGCACCUGCCCACCCACAGCGCGCUGGUGGUGGAGAAAGAAGUGACGUGAUGCUGCUGGCGUCCGGAGUUCAGCGCACGGCAGAGCGGGAGCGCAGGCUCUCUCCCGGUCUGUGCAGCCCGCUACCAAACUCAAGACAGCGAAUGGCUUCUUGCCGCAGGUUCACCUGCUGUCCCCAGCGUUAGGGACAUGCAGGGACAAUUGCUGAGCUUCUGCUCUGGCACGUCACCACUGUCACCAGCUGCGGACUGGAAAAACGUUUUCCAUUGAGACAGAUGCAUUGACAGGACCUGAAAGCCAGGUCCAGCGAGCUAUUCUGUGAAGCUCAAGAAAUACAGAUGUUAACAGAGUAAUCUCCACGGUCGUCUUCAUUUUGUCGCAAGAUCGUUAUAAAACCUGAUAAAUUAUGCUUUGUAAAAUGCUUUGGGUGGAGCGCACUUUGGAAUUGCAGAAAGCACUCUUUUAAUCUCCUUUAUUAAAGUAAUAUGCACAAGAGAGACUGCUCCCAUGCACGUAGCUCUUCACAGCCCUGUCUUCUCCCCUCUCACGUUUACUGUGUGAACUUUACCUUUGGCAGCAGCUCUGUCUUGAGGAAGCUCAGCGCUCCCAGAUGUCCACAGCAUUGCUCAUGUUACGGUGUGCCGUGGGCUAAUGAUCUUUUAAAGGGGAGCCAAGAGUUUCUGCUUUCACCUUCCUUUGCUAAAAACGGAGCUGCUAACGCACUGGGCUUGGUUGGUUGGUUUGUUUAACAGAAUAAAAUUGAAGCCUUAACCAGGGAGCCCAGGACAGAGGCCGAGCCGGCGCGGCCCGACGUGAGGUACGUACCAGGUUGCGGCAGCUGCUGGAGGGAAGUACACAAAUAGCCUCCUGGCGAUGGGCGCCGAGCCAGCUGCAGUUGGUCUGCGGGUUUGAAAAUCAGGCGCCAAAUGGUUGUUUUGAAAAAAAGAACCCACUGGGUUUGCUGCCACGAGCGCGGCGAGCGGUGCCGGCUUCUGCACACCGUCAGCGCGGGGGGCGCCGCCGCCGCCGCGGCGAGCCGUGAUUUCCAGAGCGGCGCUGCCAUUGCUCCCGGCUGAUAAAGCAGCUUUGUGAGCUCAGAGGAGCCGCAGCUCGGAGCCCGUCCACACCCUCCAAACCGCCGCACGGCAAAAGGAUUCCGGGCUUGUUUGUGUUCCGAGCUGAACCUGAACUGCACCGAGAACCUGGGGCUGCCCUGAGUCUUUUAUCUUGGGAUCCCUGAAAGUAUUACGAGAAAAGUCAAAACUCAUUAUGUUAGAGACUAUUGGCCCAAUGUUUCAUUAAAGGUGAUAUGAAUAAUUCCUUCCUUGAUCUUAGAUUACUUUUGUUAUUUACCUACAUAAAUAGCAACUAAUUAUGCAGGCGAACACCCAUGGCUGCGUCUCCACAGGCUCCAGGAAGCCGGACUAGAAGGAAAUGGUGAUAUUGUUCCUACCUGGCCACCUCAUAUGUUUUUAGUGGUGUUUUCAUGGUAUUUUAUUACUGUGAAAUCUUUCUAUUUCUUGAGGAGAAUUGCUGAGCGCUGGGGAGCCGGUGAGGGGAAAACUCGGCUGCCGCCGCUGCGCUGGGGCUGCGGUGAAUCACACUGCGACUCUUCCUUCCUUCCUUCUUUCAGCCUGAUAAAGACUCUGAAUUAACCAUAGAAACCUCUCCGCUGCUCUUGUGUUACAAACGUGGCUCUUUUUUAGCUUAUAAAUAAAUCAAUGUGUGGAAAAGCGACAAAGCAGAACUGUGGCAAGUUGAGGAGUCCUGAGCGCUGACCCCGCGGCUUCUUCCUCUGCCACUUUUCUGUUGAGACAGGGAGGAAAUGUGAGGGGUUUUGAAAUCAAAUUCUCAUUUAUUUCUACUCAUGUGAGACCAGGUCUGGCUCCAGCACGAGAAAAGGGCCACCGGGGCCCUCCUGACCGUGUCCGUCACUCGUGUUCCUGCCGUGAAGGAGCGAACGAUCCCAAGUACGGCCCUGGAUUGUCCCCCGGGUCUGGUUAACUCUUGGGGUACAGGCUGAAUCCUGCCUCAGCAAGGAGGUAAAUGCUGUAGCAGCAUCUUAUUGUUCAAGGCUUCUGCCUAACCUUGUAUGCCUGGAAUUAGAAAUAAACACACCUCUUACAUGUUACAGCGUGGAGUCAUCUUGAAAAGAAAUCCCCGUUCUACAUGCUAUCUGCUGUUCGCACAACUGCGCCCUGUGUUGCUCUUUUCUACAUGUCUCUUAGCAAACUUUCUCAUAGCGAAUGAGGACAAUCUCAACCAUGACACACGGCGUUUUCUCUGCUUGCUUUGGUGCUUUCUGACCCUGCUGGAAGCAGUUUUAGUCAAUAAAAGCUGAAAUUCUGGAGCAGAAAUCUGUGAGGUGUGGAUGCUUCUUCCAGACUUUGCUAGAAGUUUUUUAAGCACUGCUACUGGGCUGGAUUGAAUUUGGACUGACAGGAAGAUGCUCUGUGCUGUGUGUUCAGUCCUUCCCCCUCCUGAAAUCAAUGAAAAUGUCUGAGACAAUCAAUUCAACCCCAACAGGCUGUUCAGAGUGAGAUAAAGAACACAAGGCAGAGAAAGAAAUAAACCCUGGUAAAGACAUAACAAAUAAUAACGUGUAAAGUGAGAAAGAGGAGGGCAUGGCAGCAGCUGCUGAGAAACCGAAGCAGUUGAGGGAAGAAAGAGCGGAAUUCCCGCAUCCCCUGGUCUGUGAAAUGUCAGAGUCAUUAUGAAAUCCUGAACAGCGUCAGAAAACUCGUUACACCCAACUGUACAGGAAACAGGUCAACGACGAGGAGAUGCUCUGCAGCAAAGGGUACGUGAGGUUUUCCUUUGUGUUUAUUACGUUCUGUAGGUAAUAUCUCCAUUUAUCUGACGGGGAAGCGCCCCAGUGCCAGGCAGAGCUAUCGCUGCUGCCGGUGUUCUCUGACAUCCCAAAACUCUCUUCUCCUGUGCAGACAGACAGAUAUGUUGCACAUACCUUUGAGGAAGAGCUCUGACACCGAGCCCAGGGCACUGCCAAGUUCCUGACUUCAUUUCAGGGUGAAACCUGUACCUGCACCAGCCUUUUUCUGUGCUCCGCUUCCACAGAGCAAACCUGGCGAUGGGUGAGCCUUGGAGUUUGAACAGAUGCUAAUUCCACGACUGAAGCAUCCACUGUACUGCCUGUAGAACACACGUGUCUCGUGGGCUCUGGGCUUUUGCACUUCCCCCCAGUCCCUGGAUACUUUCCUGUCCUCAUCCCACCCCAAACUGCUCAUUUAUUUUCAGCAGAGAUAGAUACGUGUUCAGUUAACAAGGAGGGGAGAGCAGUGGAGUGUUCUGGUUACUGCUAAAGGGAUUGCCUAAAAAAUAUAGCAAAUAUUAGGAAUUAUUGUUGGGAUGUAUUUCAGUGAAUUUGUUUAAAACCCCACAAAUCUUACUGCAGCACAGCUGAGAUCAGCACUAUAAAAAUAACUGGUAAAAUAUUAGAACCAACCAAACAAAGCACUGGAACAAUCAAAGUUUUUAAGCCGUUAUCUAAAAAAUCUGACAGACAGAAUAAUGGGGGAGUUUUGGCUAAGUUUCAUGAGCAAAGGGGAUUUACAUCUGGAUUACAUUAUCAAUCAAAACUAGGCAAAAGGUCUAGGAGAAUUUCCAAAAUAUGACAGAUGCGCAGAGCAUCACGUCAAAUCACAAGAGAAGAAAUGAGCUAACCCAAAAAUGCUUAU